rnacentral:misc_RNA from 1 species
AAGUCGUAACAAGGUUUCCGUAGGUGAACCUGCGGAAGGAUCAUUACAAGAAUCGAGGCUGACGGUGCCUACUCUGUAGGCUCCGUCCAGUCCCGCUCUCUACCUUGCCUACUGCACCGUUUGUUGCUUCCUGGCGGCGGCGUCCCGUCGCCAGGGCCUUUUGAAAGCCAAGUAUAAGCAUUGAAACUUCUGACAUACACUAAAUCGUACAACUUUCAACAAUGGAUCUCUUGGUUCUG